GUGAGGAAUAUUGGUCAAUGGACGAGAGUCUGAACCAGCCAAGUCGCGUGAAGGAAGACGGUUCUAUGAAUUGUAAACUUCUUUUGUGCAGGAAUAAAGUGGGUUACGUGUAACCUUUUGUAUGUACUGUACGAAUAAGGAUCGGCUAACUCCGUGCCAGCAGCCGCGGUAAUACGGAGGAUCCGAGCGUUAUCCGGAUUUAUUGGGUUUAAAGGGUGCGUAGGUGGAUUGAUAAGUCAGCGGUGAAUGUUUGCAGCUUAACUGUAAAAUUGCCGUUGAAACUGUCGGUCUUGAGUGCAAAUGAGGUAGGCGGAAUGUGUUGUGUAGCGGUGAAAUGCUUAGAUAUAACACAGAACUCCGAUUGCGAAGGCAGCUUACUGGGAUGCAACUGACACUGAUGCACGAAAGCGUGGGUAUCAAACAGGAUUAGAAACCCUUGUAGUCC
rnacentral:rRNA from 1 species